UCAGGAUAUCUUGAUUAUUUAUUUUAUUAUAAUUAUUUUUUGAUUUUUUUAUUUUUUAAUAAAAGAAAUUUUAUUUAUUUAUUUAGUCUUAGUAUAUUUUGUAGAAUUGAUUCUUUUUAUUAUAGUUGAUUAGUAAUGUAAUUGGAUUAUGAAAUAAUUAUUUAAUUUUAAAAAGUAAAUUUAAGUUAUUGUACCUUUUGUAUCAGGGUUUAUUAAAUUUUUAGUAUUUAUUUACUAGUCUCGAUUUAGGUUGAUUUACAAUUAAUUUAUAGUUAAUGUGUCAUAAUUAUUUUUGAGUUAAUUGUAGAAAUGAAAUGUUAAUCGUUUCCUAAGAUAUCUAGUUUCUUAAGAAAAAAUUUAAUUUUUUAAAGUUAUUAGUUUUUAUUUACUUUUAUAUGUAAAAAUAUUAACUUAUUUAUUCUUUAGGGGAUAAGCUCUAGAGUUUACCUAUAAUUUUAAUUAUUUAUAUUUAAUAGUAGGCUUUAAACCAGCUAUCUUUUAGAUUACGUUUUAGUUCAUUAUUUUUUAUUUUGAUUUUAUAAUUAUUUUAGGUUUUAUAUUAAGAUUAUAAAUUUAAUUUUUAAAUUAUUGUAAUAAUGAUGGAAUUAGUAUAUUGUUUUGUUUAUAAUAUUUUAUUUUGUAAAUUUAUUAUAAGGAACUAGGCAAAAUUGAUUUCCGCCUGUUUAUCAAAAACAUGUCCUCUUGACUAUAUUUUGAGGUCUGGCCUGCUCACUGACUAAGUUUUAAAGAGCCGCGGUAUUUUGACCGUGCAAAGGUAGCAUAAUCAUUAGUCUCUUAAUUAGGGGCUAGAAUGAAUGGCUUGACGAGAAAUCAUCUGUCUCUUAUUAAAUUAUAGAAUUUAACUUUUAAGUUAAAAGGCUUAAAUUUUUCUUAAAGACGAGAAGACCCUAUAGAGCUUAAUAUUUUAUUUUUAUAUAAUUUUUAGUUAAUCUUUUUAUAUUUAAAGUUAAUGUUUUGUUGGGGUGACAUGAAGAAUAAAUAAACUCUUCUUUCUAAAAUCAUUUAUUUAUGUUUAAUUUGAUCCAUAAUUUAUGAUCAUAAGAUUAAGUUACCUUAGGGAUAACAGCGUAAUUGUUUUUGAGAGCUCAUAUUGACAAAGCAGAUUGCGACCUCGAUGUUGGAUUAAGAAUAAUUUUGGGUGCAGGAGCCCAGUAAUUAGGUCUGUUCGACCUUUAAAUUCUUACAUGAUCUGAGUUCAGACCGGCGUGAGCCAGGUCGGUUUCUAUCUUAAGUUAAAAUUAUUUACAUUAGUACGAAAGGACCAUGUAAUAAAAAUAUUUUUUAUUUAAUGAUUUAAAUUAAUAUUUACUAUUUUGACAGAUUAAUGUGUUGAAUUUAGAAUUCAUUAAUGUAGAUUUAUUCU
rnacentral:rRNA from 1 species